GACCUCAAAUCAGGUAGGACUACCCGCUGAACUUAAGCAUAUCAAUAAGCGGAGGAAAAGAAACUAACAAGGAUUCCCUUAGUAACUGCGAGUGAACCGGGAUGAGCUCAAAUUUAAAAUCUGGCGGUCCUUAUGCGGCCGUCCGAGUUGUAACCUAGAGAAGCGUCUAUCCGCGCUGGACCGUGUACAAGUCUCUUGGAAAAGAGCAUCAUAGAGGGUGACAAUCCCGUCUUUGACACGGAUCGCCAGGGCUUCAGGAUGCGCUCUCGAUGAGUCGAGUUGUUUGGGAAUGCAGCUCAAAACGGGUGGUAAAUUCCAUCUAAAGCUAAAUACAGGGGAGAGACCGAUAGCGCACAAGUACCGUGAGGGAAAGAUGAAAAGAACUUUGAAAAGAGAGUUAAACAGUACGUGAAAUUGUUGAAAGGGAAACGCUUCAAGUCAGUCGCAUUGGUCGGGGAUCAGCCUGCAAUGGUGCACUUCCCGGCCCAAUGGGUCAGCAUCAAUUUUGACCGUUGGAUAAAGGUCAGGGGGAACGUGGCAAUCACCUUGCCCUUGGUUGCAUACAACGGUUGGGAUUGAGGAACUCAGCACGCCUUCAUGGUCGGG
rnacentral:rRNA from 1 species